GAUGAACGCUGGCGGCGUGCCUAACACAUGCAAGUCGAGCGAAGCGGGGACGCGUGAGUAUCACGUGGGGGACCCCCUAUAUGACUGGGGUAAAUUCGGGAAACCUGAGCUAAACCCGCUACUUAUAGAAGGUUCCGCGCUGCAUUAGCUAGUUGGUAGGGUAACGGCUUACCAAGGCAACGAUGCAUAUCCGACCUGAGAGGAUGAUCGGCCACACUGGAACUGAGACACGGUCCAGACUCCUACGGGAGGCAGCAGUAGGGAAUAUUCCGCAAUGGGCGAAAGCCUGAAGGAGCAACGCCGCGUGAGUGAGGAAGGUCUUCGGAUCGUAAAACUCUGUUAUUAGGGAAGCGUUACCUAAACAGAAAGCCACGGCUAACUACGUGCCAGCAGCCGCGGUAAUAC
rnacentral:rRNA from 1 species